UAUAAAACUUUGAUAAUAUAAAUAGAUUUAGCGAUGCAAGACCCAUAAAAGUCAAGAGGAACAGGGGGGCCAUCAAUUUCGUCCGAGCACAUGGUAAAGGUACAAUAGUCUAUUUACUUUACUUCAUGAUAUACAUAAAUUAGGUAUUUUUUAUAUUGCUAAUAGCUGUUGUCACUUUUUAUUGUGAUGUUUGUUUCAGAAGAAACAAAAUUUUCGUACUAAUGAAUCAACUAAGACCCUAGGUAAAUGGGAGCUAAAUCCACGAGUACUACCUUUGGAUGAAAAGAUGAAAUUGAACUCCUUGAUAGACAUUGGGGUCUCCCAUAUCGUCUGCAGUCUAUUGAAGGCCUUUAUACGGAUAUGGUGUAAGGUGACAAACACCGCACACUUAUUGUUGGUGAGAUGACUCCAACCUUGUAUGAUAUAUGGUACAUAUUAAGGAUACCUGUGACAGGAGAACCUGUAACAAGUAUCAGACCUGUAGAUUACAAGGCUUUCAUCAUGGAGUAUUUAGGAAAUUGCCCUAAAGGCGAUAAGUUAAGUCAUCUUACACAUACUUGGUUGAGGACGAAAUUUGGGCAAUUACCAAAGAAGCCGACCAAAUUAAAAAUGCUUCAAUACACUACGGCUUAUCUCCUUUAUUUAGUCGAUACAACUAUCUUUGCUGACGCAUCUCAAGGGUCCACACUUACAAGUUACCUAAAACUAUUUCAAGAUCUUAAUGAGACAGAGAAGUACGCAUGAGGAGCAGUAGCACUUGCCUUUUUGUAUCAUUCAUUAUGUAAGGUCGUGGAUAGGGAUACGCAUUUUAGUGGAUCAGUAACACUACUACAGGUAAUUUUCACUAAAAUUUAUCAAUAUUUAGAUAUUUGCAGUCUUUUUGGCUUCAAACUAAUACUUAUAGUUUUUUUUGUGCAGUGUUGGAUCUAUGAGCAUUUCCCAGCUUUAGGCAUCAAACCUAUUACUAUCAUCAUAGAAAUGCCUAGAGCUUGCAAGUGGAAGAAACAACCACGCUGCAAACACCCAUUAACAGCGUUUGAUGACAUUUCAAUAGAUACGGUAAAUUGGCAAUCAUAUGAGGACUUCAACCCACUAGAUACACUUUGUAAGGAAAGCACAGUGUGUCGAUCAUAUCAUCAGUUUUCACAAUGCAGAGUACUAUAUGUCGGAUCAUAUAUUGCGGCAAUUUGGGAAGAUGGAAGUGAUUCCUGCUGGGCCACCCUAGUGGGAGAGGAGAGAGAAAGUCAGUCUUUACCCCACCAGUUGGAUUGACGAGUUGGCUAGCGAGAUAAGCGACAGGCGGUAAAGAAAACGCAAUAUUGUCAAGGCAACUCCGGAUAAAUAUGGUGGAAUGCCUACCACUGGUGGAAUGCCUAUCACAGAUUAUAUGGCCUGGUACAGCAUGUUCAGUCAUAUCUAUGAAAGUACUCCCAUGUGCCCCCCUACAGUCGCAAUCAAAUAUACCCCCCCCUCGCAGGCCAUGAUGACAAGAGGAAGCUGCGAUUAACUUGUAUAGGGACGGUACAAGCUGCACUUCAUGCUGAAGUAUUAGCAGGGGAAUCCAUAAAUUUUGUACUGGCGGCCCACAAUUUGUUAUUGCAACACACUCCUGUAGAGAAUGCCGAUAAAAUUGUGGAGGGAGAUGAUGGAAGCGAGGGUAAGGAUAGAGAUGACGAAAGAAAAAAUGAGGAGGAAGGUAGUGGAGAUGAGGAAAGCAAAACUGCGGAGGAAAAUGGUGGAGAUGAGGAAAGAGAGACUGAGGAAAUAGAGAAUGAGACUGAUGAGGAAAAUGAGAGGAGAACAAAGAGAGUAGAAAUGACAAGGGCGAGGGUAUUGCAAGUUGGCCUAAAAAAUGGUUGAGGCCAAGAAAGUGAAUGU